rnacentral:lncRNA from 10 species
CAUGGCCCAGGGCAGCCUUUCCCUAACAGUCCAUUCUGUUUUAAAGGACCUAGGCAGGACCCACUGAAUGAAUCAAAUGUCAGGUUCCUAAUGCGGCCAACAGAAAUAACUCAUGAGGGAUCAGCAUUGGGAGGGGAGGAGGGAGGGGACGCUAUUUUUAAACUCUCCACUCACCCCUCUAACAAACAAUGAAAGAUUAUGCAUCAUCCCUACUCUAGCCUUUCUAAACCUUCCGGACCAAAACAGAGGACCCUGUCCAAAUGCCUCAUCAUUUCCUAAGAAUCAAAUGUCCCCAAAAGAUAAGAUGACAACUGGAUAAUUCCAUAAUGGAGAAAUAACCCACUUUUUCUUCUAAAAAUUGCUCCUCCAGCCUUUAUUAUAUUCUACAGCAGUACUGUCCAGUAAGAUUAUAACACAAGCCACUUCAAAGAGGGAAAAAAAGCAUUUAAAAAGCAAAAUAAAUGUAUUACAAUUAAUUUUAAUAAUGUGUUUUAUUUGAAAUCGAGAUAUUCAAAUAGUAUCUCAACAGGUAAUGAUAUCAAAAUUUAUUAAUAAUUAAUCAACUCUUUUAUUAAUAAAGAGUUUGCAUUCUUUUUUGGGACGAAGCCUUUGGAAUUAGUGUGUGUUGCACACUGCACAUGUAUAGCACAUCUCAAUUCGAACCAGCUCCAUUUCAAGUGUUCAGUAGCUAUAUAUGGUUGCUGUCAUGGUAAUCUCAGCUCUUUUCAAAGUGCUGGAUUCCUCACAUGCCUUAUCUCCAUCUCAUAACAAUGCUAAUCUUUUCUUCACUUUACAGAUAAGGAAACGACAACUUAGAGAGAGUAACUGACCUGACCACAAUCACGAAGUUAGUAAGUGGCAAAGCCAUGAUUUGAACCUAGGCUUCCAAUUAAUAUCGGCUGACUAAAGUUAGUGUUCUAAAUGCAGGUGCCAUGCAACCACUACAUUCUGACUUUUCAUGAAAAGGAUGAGAAGAAAAAAUUUUCCUCACACAAUUUCAACACGCCUGCAUACAUUCUUCUACUUUAAAUAUCUGUCACCAAAAGAUGAUUUUCUAAUAAUCCUCUAUGAAACAAAGGUUUAUUCAGAGCAGGAAUUGAAAUUCCAUGUUGUUAUGCAUCAAUAUAAAAUUGAUUUAGCAUUUCUGGAAAGAAAAUUAGCAAAAUACAUGGAUUUUUAUAGCUGUGGUAUUCUUUGAACCAGAAAUUCCACUUUUAAGAAUUAACCCUGAGAAAAUAAUCAGAAAUGCUGACAAAAAUCUUAAGACAAAGAUGUUCAUCAGAGUAUCAUUUAUUAUAGCCAAAAAUGUUUUUUAAGUCAACCUAUAUUUCCAGUGGGAAAAUGGUUAAAUACAUGUGAUGAAAUAUUGCACAGACAUUAAAAUUCAUGUUUAGAAGAAUUUAAUGAUGUGAGAAAAUGCUUGCAAUAUACUACUAACUGAAAAAAGCAUCUUUAUAUAAAUGGUGUGGCAUCGACUAUGUAAAACUGCACACAGGAUAAAUGUAAGACCAGACAGUAAAUCCCAGAAGGGAAAAAGGGUGUUGCCAGCCAUGCACUGUGGCUGAGGUGGGGCAGGCCAUUUCCAGGGACCUCAAUGGGCCCCCCACUCCCCUCUCCUGGGUGAGCAGCCUCCAGUGUGGCAGAGGAGUUCCUACUCUCACAGGAGUUAGUUAAUUUUCAACCCUGAAGCUUGAAAGGAAAAUAUCCCUAAAAGUUCUCAAAAUCUUCAACCCUUUGCAAUUCCCCCUGAUUAUAUAAUUCUGAGCAGAAUCCCCAGGUUUAAAACAGAUAGACUGACGCAAAGGUGGGGCCCAGGACUAGUACCUACUACACCUCCCUCACUAGUCACCAACAAUGGUUCUUGAAGAACUACUAAAAAUCUUUAGGACACUGAAGAACAAAUCUGAAAAUCACUGUUCACAAUAAAUCACUACUUUGCAGUAACACACGAUGAAUUUCAUAGAUUAACCGGGGCUCAUUUGCAUGGCAGUAGGCCAUGGCUCAAUACUGAGGAAAUCUCCCUUUGGCCUGUCUGAAGGGAAUAUAGAUAAAUCUUUAUGUUUAUCAUCAUGUUAAAACAACAUAUGACCUGACAGCUCACUUGAAACAAACAGACCUUCCAAAGACAAAAGAGAAAACAAGUAAAAAACCUGAAACAAAACUAUCACCAUAUUUUAUUUCUGUUUUUUUCUACCAGGAUAGUUAUUCUCCAUAAUUCUCAAGCUUAACAUCUCACCAUUGUUUCAAAUGCCUCCUUCCUACCUUUCAUUUUAAAAGUAUUAUUAUCUUUGGGAGGCCGAGGCCGGCAGAUCACUUGAGAUCAGGAGUUCAAAACAAGCCUGGCCAACAUGGUGAAACCCCAUCUCUAUUAAAAAUACAAAAAAAUUAGCCAGGCGUGGUGGCGGGCACCUGUAAUCCCAGGUACUCGGGAGGCUGAGGCAGGAGAAUUGCAUAAACCCGGGAGGCGGAGGUUGCAGCAAGCCGAGAUCUCACCGCCGCACUCUAGCCUGGGAGACAGAGUGAGACUCUGUCUCAAAAAACAAAAGUAUUAUUAUUAUUUUACUAUAAACAAACAAACAAAAGUAUUAUUAUUAUUUUAACUAUAGCCAGUCAUAAUAUUUAGCAUUUCACAUGUUUUUCACUUUUUCCCCUCUUAAACCUGCUCUCACUCUUUACGCUACUUUUCAGAGAUCGUAAGUAGAUUCCUUUACUCUUGCUUUUUAUGGAUCUUCUCCUUUCAUGGAGAAAGAUAAGCUAGCAAGACAAGCAUUCUAUAUUGCCUCAGCCAUUUCUCUCUACCUUGUCUGACUCUGCCCACAGGGGUGUCUACCUUUCAAGAGGAACAAGAAAAGAGAGGUGGGAAUAUGGAACCAAGCCAAAGAUUCUGCAGGAUCCUGCACAGUGAGCAUUGUUCUGGUUCAGGCCACUGUGCUCAACUGAACAGUAUCAGUAGCACAACAUUUGGAUGCCCUUGAAUACUGUUCCUGUUUCAAUUCAUUUGUUUGUCUGAGAAUUGGGAAUGCAUGUCUGGGCAGUGACAAGAGGCCAAAGAAAGCAGAAGAUGUGUGAAGAGGAGAAUCGAUUUUCCAUAAUGAGAUGUCAGAAACACUGCUUGCUAAGUCAGCCUGAAACCAAAGAAGAAGAAUGGCAUUCAGUGAUAAGAACUGUUCAUGAGCCUGAAUUCCAUGGCUGCUCCUGCACAAACCACCGGACACAGAUCCGGGGAAAGGCAACAAAGUUGCCUCUACUUUGUGAGUGGCUAGAAGUUACUGGACAUCUGGGAGCCCUGGUGCCUUGACUGUAAAAUGGAGACAACAACUCCUCUCAUGGUUGUUAUGACAAGGAAAUGAGAGAUACAUAUCAAGUGCCUAACAUAGAGCUGGCUCCUAUGAACCAGAACUUAUUAAGCAAUUGUAGAAGGCAAGAUUUAAAGCACAGACUUUGGAGCAGUCCUUGGGUUCCAAUCCUGGCUGCAUCGUUUAUCAUCUCUGAGCCUCAGUUUCCACAUCUGUAACAAAAGCUUUCAUUUUACAGAUGUAAAAGCAGUGUGUACCUCCAAGGGGUGGUUGUGAGGAUUAAUCAAGUUAAUACACAUGGCAUUCUCAGAUCAGUGCCUUGCACGGCAAUUUACUCAAUAAAUGUUAGCGAUUUUUUUUCAA